AUUGAACGCUGGCGGCAGGCCUAACACAUGCACGUCGAGCGAGCGGCGGACGGGUGAGUAAUGUCUGGGAAACUGCCUGCUGGAGGUGGAUAACUACUGUAAACGGUAUCUAAUACCGCAUACCAUCAGAUGUGCCCCGAUGGGAUUAGCUCGUAGGUGGGGUAACGGCUCACCUAGGCGACGCUCCCUAGCUGGUCUGAGAGGAUGACCAGGCACACUGGAACUGAGACACGGUCGAGACUCCUACGGGAGGCAGCAGUGGGGAAUAUUGCACAAGGGGGGCAAGCCUGAUGCAGAAAUGCCGCGUGUGUGAAGAAGGCCUUCGGGUGGUAAAGCACUUUCAGCGGGGAGGCGUUACCCGCAGAAGAAGCACCGGCUAACUCCGUGCCAGCAGCCGCGGUAAUUC
rnacentral:rRNA from 1 species